GUCGUCAGCUCGUGCCGUGAGGUGUUGGGUUAAGUCCCGCAACGAGCGCAACCCCCGCCGUUAGUUGCCAGCGGUUCGGCCGGGCACUCUAACGGGACUGCCCGCGAAAGCGGGAGGAAGAGGGGACGACGUCUGGUCAGCAUGGCCCUUACGGCCUGGGCGACACACGUGCUACAAUGCCCACUACAAAGCGAUGCCACCCGGCAACGGGGAGCUAAUCGCAAAAAGGUGGGCCCAGUUCGGAUUGGGGUCUGCAACCCGACCCCAUGAAGCCGGAAUCGCUAGUAAUCGCGGAUCAGCCAUGCCGCGGUGAAUACGUUCCCGGGCCUU
rnacentral:rRNA from 1 species